UCGGCACCGUCUCUUCCCUCGCCUCAUCUCCCCCUUUCUUCUCUCAAAUCCUGCUCAAAGCCCAAACCCUCGCCGUCUCUUCCUUCGUCCGCCACCGACUCAUCUCCCCGUUUCAGUAAAGAAUGGCUCGAUUCAAAGUGAGCUUUUGAAUGCUUGUGUCUCUCGUGGCGCUACCUCUUCCGUACUACUUCACUUCCCCUGUUUGGUUUGAUUUUGGUUGCAGAGGAAGAAGGCGCUCCCAAAGCCGUCUACGGUGAAGAAUACACCCUGCGUGGAUCGGAUCACUGGGCAGACGAUCCCGAAAGGUUUUGUCUUCUCCAGGGGGAAGCUAGGCCUUCCCAGAGAUCUCGAAUUGGAUCUCCGGAAGCUUAUGCUCCCCCAUACCACCUUAAAAUUAAAGUGACAGGAGAAGAAACAGAAUAAACUCGAAGACUUGUGAAUGUUGCAGGGCCUAUGGGUGUGACCCAUUUUCUUAUACCAUCAAACUCAAAAGAGCAUGCCCCAUUUGCGUGUUGCAAGGACACCGCAAGGUCCAACAUUAACUUGUAAGAUACAUGAAUAUGCGUUGGCUGCUGAUAUUAUUCGAUCUCAGUCUCAUCCCAGUUGUCCUAAAGAGCUGUUCAGUAACUCGCCCCUAGGCUGGCUAUGGUUCAGAAAGUGAAGCUGAUGAAGAAUCGGCAACUCAGUUUGGCAAGUGAGCUUGACAGAGUAAACCGGGCAUCUACCCAAAGUGCUGUUAGACUUCAGGAAAUUGGACCUAGGAUGACACUUCAUUUGGUUAAAGUCUAGGAAGGGUUAUGCUCUGGAGCUGUUAUAUACAAUGACUUUGGUAAAGGAGAUUGACUCAUUUGGUCUCUCUGAUGGGUGACAAACCAUGUAGUGUUUUCUACGUUGCAUCCUAAUAUGUAGCUGUUAUUUUUUUCAUCAGUGA